GACAGAGGGUGCAAACGUUGUUCGGAAUUACUGGGCGUAAAGCGUGCGCAGGCGGCCUUGCAAGUCGGGCGUGAAAUCCCACGGCUCAACCGUGGAAGUGCACUCGAAACUGCUUGGCUAGAGUCUUGGAGAGGAAGGCGGAAUGCUUGGUGUAGAGGUGAAAUUCGUAGAUAUCGAGAGGAACAUCGGUGGCGAAGGCGGCAUCCUGGACCGGCAUUGACGCUGAGGAGCGAAAGCCAGGGGAGCAAACGGG
rnacentral:rRNA from 1 species